GUAGAAACUGCCUGACAACCUUCUCAAAGUUUUCCUAUCCUUCACAAAUGCCCCAGGCGGGUAGACCUGGUUCUGGAGGAAAUUCUUGAUAUCAAAAUACCAAGGCUUGUCAUCUUUCACUUCUUCAAUUGCAAAUAUGUGAGCUGGUCUGUCCAAGCGCAUGACAGUAAUAUUGGGGACAUCAUUCCACCAUCUGACUACAAUCAUGGAAGCAAGCAUAGCAAGAGCAUCUGCCAUCCGAUUAUCCUCUCGAGGAAUGUGAUAAAAUUCAACUUCUGUGAAGAAU
rnacentral:lncRNA from 1 species